rnacentral:misc_RNA from 1 species
UGUCAAUGGACCAUCGCAAGAAACUGAGAAUUCUCAUUGGCUUGCUCAAGGACAAGACCUCCAUUAUCAAAGCAACUCUAUCCACCAAGCGGAUCAGUAAAAUAAAAAUCGCUGUCCUCCGCGCCACCACUCAUGACGCGUCUACCCCACCUUCGGACAAAUGCAUCGCCGCCGUCCUCUCUCUUGGCCAGGGCUCCCGCCCUGUUACAUGCACAUGCAUUGAGGUUCUAAUGGAUCGCCUACAUAGCACCAAGAAUGCUUCUGUUGCCCUAAAAUGUCUCUUCAUUAUGCAUACUAUCAUAUCAAGAGGCUCGUUUAUUCUCAAAGAUCAGCUUUCCGUUUACCCUUCUUUUGGUGGCAGGAACUUCCUUAACCUAUCAAUGUUUCGAGAUGAAUCAGAUCCUGAAAGGUGGGAUUUAUCUUCUUGGGUUAGAUGGCAUGCAGGUAUCGUAGAGCAGAAUUUAACGAUUUCAAGAUUUCUGGGUCACUACCUGUGUUCUUCUCUCAUUGCAACUAAAAAUAAGGGCGAGGAAAAGAGAGUUUUGGCACUGUUGAACAGAGAUUUAUUUGAUGAAAUGGAUGUUCUAGUGGAUUUUGUUGAAGUAGUAAGUGAAUUUCCUGAUUCUUUACAUCUUCUAAAGAAUAAUUUGAUCUAUGAGAUAGUUCGGUUGGUUUCUGAGGAUUACAGGUCUGUUCAACGUGAAAUCUCAAUCAGAGUUAUGGAACUCGGGGAGAGAAUUCCGAGUUUGAGUUAUAUUGAGUUGACUCAGCUUCUGGGUAACUUGAAGAGAUCCGAGGGUUGCAAAGAGAGAUUGUGUUUGUUGUUUGCAAAUAGGAAUAGGAAUGAUGCUUUAUGGAAAUUGGUAGGUGAAACAAGGACGAAAGCUGUAGAGAUGAUGAAGGAAAAGGGAGAGAUGAAGUUGCUGAAAAUGGGAAGCGAUUCAAGCGAGUUGACUCAGAUCCGAUUCAAUUCUGAUGGCAGAUGGAUGGGUUUUGACUCGGUAGCUUUAACUGUUUCUGCAAUGCAAUGAGUAUUCCCCCUUCAACUUUCCCAUUUUUGAAUCUUCACGCUUUGCUUUGUCAUUUACCUUUGGUCAAAUUUAUUUAUUUAUUUUAAUUUCCUUUUACAAAUCAAACUUGAUUAACGUCGUGCAUGAAUUAUUUAUUGUGAAAUAUCUGAGAUGUUUUGUGAAUUAAGAUAAUUUGUAUUUAUUGUGAA